rnacentral:rRNA from 1 species
AACGCGAAGAACCUUACCUGGGCUUGACAUCCAGCUGCGCGGACUAUGAAAGUGGUCCUCCUUCGAGGGAGCUGGACAAGGUGCUGCAUGGCUGUCGUCAGUUCGUGCCGUGAGGUGUUUGGUUAAGUCCACCAACGAACGCAACCCCUUUGAGCAGUUGCCAGCGGGCGAUGCCGGGAACUCUGCUCAGACUGCCCGUUAUACGCGGGAGGAAGGUGGGGAUGACGUCAAGUCAGUAUGGCCCUUAUGCCCAGGGCUGCACACGUGCUACAAUGGCCGGUACAGAGGGAAGCGAAGCCGCGAGGCGGAGCCAACCCCCCAGAGUCGGCCCCAGUUCGGAUCGGGGUCUGCAACCCGACCCCGUGAAGUCGGAAUUGCUAGUAACGGCGCAUCAGCUACGUCCCCCG